GAUGAACGCUAGCGGGAGGCUUAACACAUGCAAGUCGAAGGGCAGCAUAAGGUAGCAAUACUUUGAUGGCGACCGGCGCACGGGUGAGUAACGCGUAUGUAACCUGUCCUUAACAGGAGGAUAACCCGGAGAAAUUCGGACUAAUACUGCAUAAAAUUAUAAAUAGGCAUCUAUUAAUAAUUAAAGCUACGGCGGUUAGGGAGGGGCAUGCGUAACAUUAGCUGGUUGGUAGGGUAACGGCCUACCAAGGCAAUGAUGUUUAGGGGACCUGAGAGGGUGACCCCCCACACUGGUACUGAGACACGGACCAGACUCCUACGGGAGGCAGCAGUGAGGAAUAUUGGUCAAUGGGCGGCAGCCUGAACCAGCCAUCCCGCGUGAAGGAAGAAUGCGCUAUGCGUUGUAAACUUCUUUUCAGGGGGAUAAAAUUCUGUAUGUAUACAGGACUGAAGGUACCCUGAGAAUAAGCAUCGGCUAACUCCGUGCCAGCAGCCGCGGUAAUCUGU
rnacentral:rRNA from 1 species